rnacentral:lncRNA from 1 species
GUAUCUUUUCUCAGGCCUGCGCUGCACGCUCAGCAGGUGAGGACUGGAGCCUGACUGCGGGGGUCUCUGGCAAUGGUGACAAUGAAGGUGGUGGCUGAGAUGAUGAGGGCGGUGGUGCUGACAGGGAUGGCAAGGAUGGCGAAGGCCAGGAGGGUCUGAGGAGGCGCCCACCCGAGGACAAGGACCGCAGGGAGCGGUGGGAGAGGCAGGGCUGACGACCGCAGGAC